UGGCGGACGGGUGAGUAACGCGUGGGUAACCUGCCUCACACUGGGGGACAACAGUUAGAAAUGACUGCUAAUACCGCAUAAGCGCACAGGACCGCAUGGUCCGGUGUGAAAAACUCCGGUGGUGUGAGAUGGACCCGCGUUUGAUUAGCUAGUUGGUGGGGUAACGGCCUACCAAGGCGACGAUCAAUAGCCGACCUGAGAGGGUGACCGGCCACAUUGGGACUGAGACACGACCCAA
rnacentral:rRNA from 1 species